GAUGAACGCUGGCGGCGUGCCUAAUACAUGCAAGUCGAGCGAAAGGACGCGAAGCUUGCUUUUCUGAUGUUAGCGGCGGACGUGUGAGUAACACGUGGAUAACCUACCUAUAAGACUGGGAUAACUUCGGGAAACCGGAGCUAAUACCGUAUAAUAUUUUGAACCGCAUGGUUGAAAAGUGAAAGACGGUCUUGCUGUCACUUAUAGAUGUAUCCGCGCUGGUUUAGCUAGUUGGUAAGGUAACGGCUUACCAAGGCAACGAUGCAUAACCGACCUGAGGGGGUGGUCGGCCACACUGGAACUGAGACACGCUCCAGACUCCUACGGGAGGCAGCAGUAGGGAAUCUUCCGCAAAGGGCGAAAGCCUUACGGAGCAACGCCGCGUGAGGGAUGAAGGUCGUCGGAUCGGAAAACUCUGUUAUUAGGGAAGAACAUAUGUGUAAGUAACUGUGCACAGCUUGACGGUACCUAAUCAGAAAGCCACGGCUAACUACGUG
rnacentral:rRNA from 1 species